rnacentral:misc_RNA from 1 species
CGCGCAUCCACCAUCGUCGUUACCAGCGAUACCAUCACCGACCACCAUCGCCAAUGCCGAAUUGAAAUUUAGAUAACCGCAUUUGCGCUGGCGCCGAUUCGCUUGUUAACGGACUGUUCGGCUGUCUUUACGAGACUCGCCGAGCGAAAGAAAGCGGUCGUCGGUUCUUUUUCACGUCCGCCAACAAAGUCUCGUAUCGAUGGAAAUGCAGACUGCGUGCAGCGUACUUGGAUACACGAUACGUCACAUGGGAACAUCCGCGUGGAAUACACAGA